CAGGAAGUAGACUGAACCCAUACAGGAAGUAGACUACAGACAAGCAGGAAGUAGACUGAAUCCACACAGGAAGUAGACGGAACUCACACCGG